rnacentral:rRNA from 1 species
CCUACGGGAGACAGCAGUGAGGAAUAUUGGUCAAUGGACGAGAGUCUGAACCAGCCAAGUAGCGUGAAGGAUGACUGCUCUAUGGGUUGUAAACUUCUUUUAUAUGGGAAUAAAAUGUUCCACGUGUCGGAUUUUGUAUGUACCAUAUGAAUAAGGAUCGGCUAACUCUGUGCCAGCAGCCGCGGUAAUACGGAGGAUCCGAGCGUUAUCCGGAUUUAUUGGGUUUAAAGGGAGCGUAGGUGGAUUGUUAAGUCAGUUGUGAAAGUUUGCGGCUCAACCGUAAAAUUGCAGUUGAAACUGGCAGUCUUGAGUACAGUAGAGGUGAGCGGAAUUCGUGGUGUAGCGGUGAAAUGCUUAGAUAUCACGAAGAACUCCGAUUGCGAAGGCAGUUCACUGGACUGCAACUGACACUGAGGCUCGAAAGUGUGGGUAUCAAACAGGAUUAGAUACCCUUGUAGUC